rnacentral:rRNA from 1 species
GUGAACGCUGGCGGUAGGCCUAACACAUGCAAGUCGAACGGCAGCACAGUAAGAGCUUGCUCUUACGGGUGGCGAGUGGCGGACGGGUGAGGAAUACAUCGGAAUCUACUUUUUCGUGGGGGAUAACGUAGGGAAACUUACGCUAAUACCGCAUACGACCUACGGGUGAAAGCAGGGGAUCUUCGGACCUUGCGCGAUUGAAUGAGCCGAUGUCGGAUUAGCUAGUUGGCGGGGUAAAGGCCCACCAAGGCGACGAUCCGUAGCUGGUCUGAGAGGAUGAUCAGCCACACUGGAACUGAGACACGGUCCAGACUCCCACGGGAGGCAGCAGUGGGGAAUAUUGGACAAUGGGCGCAAGCCUGAUCCAGCCAUACCGCGUGGGUGAAGAAGGCCUUCGGGUUGUAAAGCCCUUUUGUUGGGAAAGAAAAGCAGCAGGUUAAUACCCCGCUGUCCUGACGGUACCCAAAGAAUAAGCACCGGCUAACUUCGUG